GGUGCUAAGUUCUUCUCCCUUGCUCGCCAAAUGGUAGCCUGAGCCUUUUGCUCCCAAGGCUUUUUUCCACCUGGAACUCACCAAAACUCUAGUGGGUGGAACCAGGUGGGCGCCAUUGCCAUUAUAAGAGAACAAAGAAGGUGUUCAUGGUGAGUUUCAGCUCCUCUUUUCCUAGAAAAAUAGCAUUGUUUCAGCCAUAUAAUUUGUGUGCUCUGGAGUAACCAGUACAGCAUUUUUAGGACAAGCAUUUGCCCCAUCUCAGCAGUAUUGUCUUCUUUAGACUACAACUCCCAUCAGCCCCAGCUACCAAGGCCAAUAGUCAGGGAUAAUGGGAAUUCUAGUAAAAAAUUAUCCGGAUUGCCCUGGUAGCUGUUUAGGAACUGACAGGACAAUCCUCCUGCCAAUGAAUCUCCACAGUGUCUGUUGAUUCCCCCUCCCCAAAUAUUGUGGCAACCUCUCAAAAGCAGGCACAGUCCUGCUACUGGGAGCAUUUGGGUCAAAAUUAAGGGAGAGAAGAAUAACAGUGACCUCAUUGUGGGAGUUUACUAUAGAUCCCCAAGCCAAACGGAGGACAUAGAUGAUGCCUUCCUGGAACAGAUGGCCAAGCAUGCAAAAGGAAGGGAGAUAGUAGUAAUGGGCGACUUCAAUUACCCGGAUAUUUGUUGGAUGUCAAACUCAGCCAAGAGCAUAAGGUCAAACAGAUUCCUCACUGGCCUUGCAGACAACUUCAUUGUCCAGAAAGUGGGAGAAGCAACAAGAGGAACAGCCAUUUUAGAUCCGGUCCUAACCAAUGUUGAUGACCUGGUUAGUGGGGUAGAAGUGGAAGGAUCAUUAGGCGCGAGUGAUCAUACUCUUCUGAAGUUUACUAUACAGCGGAAAGGAGCAGCCAAGCAUACUAGGACUCAAUUUCUUGACUUUAAGAAAGCCGACUUCAUAAAACUUAGGGAAGUGCUGGGUGAGAUCCCAUGGACAGUAAUACUAAAAGGAAAGGGAGUUCAUGAUGGCUGGGAGUUUAUUAAGAGGGAGAUAGUAAAAGCACAACUUCAGGCAAUACCCAUGAGACAGAAACAUGGAAGGUGCCUAAAGAAGCCAGGGUGGCUAUCUAAAGAACUUUCAACUGAGUUAAGAU